rnacentral:lncRNA from 1 species
AAUCUCCUCAACAUUCACAAUUUGUAUGCCCUGGUGUGGCUUAGAAGUAAAAAGUCUACCUGCAGUGCAAGAGACCCAGGUUUAACCCCUGUGUUGGGAAAAUCCGCUGGAGAAGGGAAUGGCAACCCACUCCAGUAUUCUUGCCUGGAGAAUCCCAUGGACAGAGGAGCCUGGCAAGCUACAGCCCACGGGGUCACAAGGAGUCGGACAUGACUGAGUGAGUUUACUUCACUUCACAGAGAGAAAAAAGUAAGAGAAAGAUGUUUUUUUUAAAUAUUGUUGUAAAAGAUACAACUUAUAAGUUAUAAAUUCUAGAAUUUUAUGAAUGGUGAACUCAUAGAUGAAAAAGAGUGUUAGGCAUUUUGGCUGCAGGAAACAGUUACCUUAGUAAUGGAAGUUUCUAGAAAGGGCAUAUGAGAAAAUAGAGAAGAGAGUAUUCUCACAGGAAUCGAAGAACAUCCAUUACCCGAGAUCCCACAUAGUCCUGAGCACUAGUGUUAUAUCUGUUGUCUCUGUAGGAGCAAGAAUUUAUAGAUCUAUGCUCUGAUACCAUUAACAAGGCUCUAUUAUUCUGUGUUUAUACUUCUCAUUGUGUCCUUUAUAAUUUCUCUUCCCACUAUUUGGAGAUCCAAAGUGAUGAAGACCAUAGAUUCUACAAUUAAAA